GGAGGGAAUGAUCCACCAGGAAGGAUUCGAGGGGUGGGUCAAUAUGUCACACCAAGUAAAUACUUCCACACUGCAAGAGAAAAACGAAAGAAGGUCGGUAAAGAAGAAGAUUAUGCUGAAGAGCGAGCGAGAAUGGCUGCUCGUAUCUUAGAACUGGAAGCAGAAUUAAUGAAGCAUAAGAAGGUUCCUGAAGUGGCCACAAAAGGAGAAACUGACGAGAGCAAGAUCAAGAGUCAAAUGGCUUCUAAAAGCAUUGACACAUCAGAUGAUGCAAAUGACCAUGACGCAAAAGAAGAAAAUAGACAAGUUCUAGAAGACUUGACAAUAGAGGACUUGACAAUAGAAAAAUAAGAUAAGGUUGGUGAGGAGAACAAAUAUGUUUGUGCAUCGAUUGAGACUUUGACAAAAGUGAAGGAUGGCACUUCUUGUCGACUUGCAAUUGGGACUAAGGACAAUGUUGUCGGUGCUGGAACUAUUUUCGACUACUACAUGGACGGUGACAACGUGAAGGUAUCAGUGGACAUGGUUACCGAUGGUAAUUGCUUCGUUCCUGUUCCAACAAGGGAAGGUAGGACUAUGCUUUCCCAAGAAGUUGGUUCACAGUUGUUAUGGCCUCGUCAUUUAGUCAUUCCCCUAGACGAAAAGAUGAAAAGCGUGUACCAAGCUGAUCCGCGAUUACCGUCGUUGACACUGAAUACAAAGAGAGCACCAGUUACACUACGAUUAUUGCUAUGGGAACUUGAUUAUAUUGGGUCAAAAAUUCAAAUUCACGUACCUGCUAAAGUUUUUGGGUAUGAACGAAAAUGUUGCAUAUUCCUCGAGGCACUCCAAGAAUUUUGUCAAAUGCAGCCUAUA